UAAUCUCCCAAGAAAACAGAGAGCAGGGGAAAGGGAGGGAUGGCUCCGGGUUUGUGUGUGAGCCCUCACAGCAGCAGCAGGCUCAGGAGCUCCUUGUGCAACCUCUGGUAAUCCAGUCAGAGCCGCCAGAGCCUGGGAAUUCACUGCUGUGUUUUACUGACUCCCCCCCACACCCCCACAGAUGGCAGCUUCACUCGGAAUCGUGUGUUAAUCAGAAACACAUCGUCCAUAUUGUCAACACUUUGUUUAACCACUUCUAUAAAUUCAGCAUUAGUGUUGGAGCGGUCCUUGGUUGAUGGAUGGAGUCGUCGGCUGCCCUCGACAGCCAAAGCCCAUAAAACUAAGUCCGGGGCUCGAGGCUCCAAAGUCAGAGACAUUCCACAUUCACCCAGACUUGCGGUGUGUGGACAACACUGCCGCUCUGGGCUGGAAGGAACGGUGGGUCCCCCUGGAAGCCAAGGAGAGACAGAGAAGCAAGAACUUCUUUCCCAGGAUCCCGCACGAGUUUUUUUUUUUUUUGAGAAGUCUCAGCCCCAGAGGUUCGGGGUAUGCCUAGAAGGAAGCUGGGCUGGGAGUACAGAAUGCGAUUGCCGUCGUCUGAAGGGCGUUCUGUAGAGCAUGUGGCUACUAAAUACUAAAGGUGGCAGGAUCAGGCUGUGAUGCUCCACUUGACUAUGACAAGAAGCUGGAGCCUCCCAUCCAUCUGUUUGUCUGUCUGCCUGUGGUCCUGGGCUCUGCCCUUGGCUGAGAGGCACACAUCUGCAAGAUGCCUUGGAAGAGUUGUCCCUGUGCCCCCACUGAGCACCACAAGGAGCAAGGUGGUGACUUCAGAUUGGCCUCCUAGUGCGUUCCAGCCAGAGGAUUGGAGAGCAGCACGAUAGCACACAACAGGACCUCCGACUCAUGCUGGAGGUCAGGUGCUAUUUGGGAUACCCAGACGAUGAGACAGAGGACGGUACCCAAGAGGGUGCUCCCAGACACAAGGAGGGGUCUGCGACUGCAGGAGCCAUUUACUUUCUGCCUCCUGGAGACUGGGAGACCCCUCACAGCAGUCACAUCAGCCUUCAACUGAAGCCGGUAAACAAGGACUCUCUGCCUGCCUUGUCUUACGGAUGAAGUACCGAGUCCAGAGAGAUGACCGUGCUCAAAUGAAGCCGCUUAGCUACUGAGGACUGGAGAGCCAGGAAAGGAGGCCAGGCGCCGAAGUCGCUUCACCGCGUCCUCCACACUCCGUGAGGCCUGCGUGCUGUGUGGUAGCUGGCAGCCCGUCUCUGUCCUUCUCCCUAACGUUGCUGAUUCCUUGUUAUGUGGCCCUGUUCUUCCCCGAGUCUCCUCUCUCUCAUCUUCAAAACAGACCCAAGAAGAAUCACAGGUACCAUGCAGCGGCGAAGCUGAGAACACAGAGAGGAGUCAGAUUAAACCCCGGACACCAGGUGGAGACAGCAGAAUAAGGAAUGACUGCCUGGUGCCACGUACCUGGCUGAACUGUCCACUGCGGUGUCUGAUCGGCUCCCCAGGGAUCCCAGCAAGCCCACAGUCACCUGCUCCUGAACAUCUCCUGCUGCCCACUCCCCGAGUCGGCCUCCUGAAUUCUCCCCUAGAAGAAGCCCGCCACACUGGCUCUUUCUCUGUGGCUGUCUCCUGACAGUGACCACAGCAGCACAUCGUGACUGUGAUUACUCCUGUGCUAGAGACAGGAGAUACAGGGCCAAGAGGCUGGGGAGUGCACUCUAAGUCACAGAGCCCUGAAGUGCCUCUGUUGGUUAAAAUGCCAAUAUUGUCGAAUGGACGGACUGUGGCAUCAUGUAGGAGACAGCCUCUGGGCAUGUCUGGGAAGGAGUUUCUACUUUAGGUUAACUGAGGUGGGAGACCCACCCUAAACAUGAGCCACAGCAUCCUUCAGCAGGACUCCAGGACUGGAUGAGACUGAGAAAUUGAACUGACCACUGGCAUUGGUUUCUCUGUGCAUCCCGACUGCAGAUGUGGUGUGGGGCACUGUCUCAUGCCUUGUCUGUCCCGAUGGACUGUACCCUCAACUGUGACAGAAUGAACCCUUUUCUCUAGUAAGUAUAUCAGGCAUUUUGCUGGCGUGAUGAAGAAAAUUAACUAUUCCAUUCCACCUCCCUGUAACAGUGCCCUUUAAGCUCCCUGCCAACCCCCCCCCCAGGGAGGGCACUAGUCCUCAGUCCUGGGACUGUUUGUCCCAGGUCCCUUCAGAGACUUGGUGAUAGCUUUGUUCUUAGAGGAAGUGGGGGGGGGUCCGUGAGGCAUAUCUGGGGCAUGCUGCAGCAGGGGAGGCGGGGUCCAGAGGUGUAGCUGGGGAUGUGCACUGCAGGUGCUUGUUUAGCCUGGAUCCAACUUAACCUGACUGCACCAUGUGACUGAUGAGACCCAGGGGAAGUGUGGAGCUCGGGGCAGAAGCCAGAUGCCUCCCGUGGGUCUGAGCCUUCUGCCUCUGAUGCCUCUAAUCUUAGGACUCAACUUCCCCAUUUUCAAAAUGGAGAAGUUGCAAUGACCUAGACAUCAUUUCUGUGUAUGGAACGGGUGACGCUGUAGGAGAGGUGACCCCUGCAAGUCACUCAAGCAUAGUGCUCCACUGUGAGUAGUAAGGGCCACAGUUUUGUAGCAUUUAUUUUGAAAGAACCCUGUGAACGGCCUAGCCAGUGAGGACGGCGGGAUGCCGUCACAGUGUACCAGGGCACAGAGUGGUGACAUGACAAAGUUGAGCGAAAGGCAUGUCUGGGGGAGAGCAGACACUCCGUGAAUGAGAGCUAACAUUUGCUUCAGCUGUUAUUAAUUAAUAUCAACAUAGACAUUGCUGGCACCCAUAUUUGUUACCUAACAUUCGGUCUAGUAGAAACAGUAUCUGAGCUGCUGUCAUCUGUGGACUCCACACAUGCGAAGGAGGGGAUGCCUCUGUACAAGGGAUUUUUUUAAACAAUAAUGAUGCCAUAGCUUGAUGGGUCAAACACGGGAGGCCCUGGUAUAUGUGAAUUCCAGAGAAACAAAGAAUGUCCUUUAGGAUAA